AUUGAACGCUGGCGGCAGGCUUAACACAUGCAAGUCGAACGAGUGGCGGACGGGUGAGUAAUGUCUGGGAAACUGCCCGAUGGAGGGGGAUAACUACUGGAAACGGUAGCUAAUACCGCAUACCAUCGGAUGUGCCCAGAUGGGAUUAGCUAGUAGGUGGGGUAACGGCUCACCUAGGCGACGAUCCCUAGCUGGUCUGAGAGGAUGACCAGCCACACUGGAACUGAGACACGGGCCAGACUCCUACGGGAGGCAGCAGUGGGGAAGUGUGCAAAAUGGGCGAAAGCCUGAUGCAGCCAUGCCGCGUGUAUGAAGAAGGCCUUCGGGUUGUAAAGUACUUUCAGCGAGGAGGCGUUACUCGCAGAAUAAGCACCGGCUAACUCCGUGCCAGCAGCCGCGGUAAUUC
rnacentral:rRNA from 1 species